UACGUAGGUGGCAAGCGUUGUCCGGAAUUAUUGGGCGUAAAGCGCGCGCAGGCGGUCCUUUAAGUCUGAUGUGAAAGCCCACGGCUCAACCGUGGAGGGUCAUUGGAAACUGGGGGACUUGAGUGCAGAAGAGGAAAGCGGAAUUCCACGUGUAACGGUGAAAUGCGUAGAGAUGUGGAGGAACACCAGUGGCGAAGGCGGCUUUCUGGUCUGUAACUGACGCUGAGGCGCGAAAGCGUGGGGAGCGAUCCGG
rnacentral:rRNA from 1 species